rnacentral:rRNA from 1 species
UACGUAGGGGGCGAGCGUUGUCCGGAAUCAUUGGGCGUAAAGAGCGUGUAGGCGGCUUGGCAAGUCUGACGUGAAAGCCCGCGGCUCAACCGCGGAUUGUCGUUGGAAACUGCCUCGCUAGAGUCCGGAAGAGGAGAGCGGAAUUCCUGGUGUAGCGGUGGAAUGCGCAGAUAUCAGGAAGAACACCCGUGGCGAAGGCGGCUCUCUGGGACGGUACUGACGCUGAGACGCGAAAGCGUGGGGAGCGAACA